rnacentral:rRNA from 1 species
GACGAACGCUGGCGGCGUGCCUAAUACAUGCAAGUUGAGCGCUGAAGGUUGGUACUUGUACCCACUGGAUGAGCAGCGAACGGGUGAGUAACGCGUGGGGAAUCUGCCUUUGAGCGGGGGACAACAUUUGGAAACGAAUGCUAAUACCGCAUAAAAACUUUAAACACAAGUUUUAAGUUUGAAAGAUGCAAUUGCAUCACUCAAAGAUGAUCCCGCGUUGUAUUAGCUAGUUGGUGAGGUAAAGGCUCACCAAGGCGAUGAUACAUAGCCGACCUGAGAGGGUGAUCGGCCACGUUGGGACUGAGACACGGCCCAAACUCCUACGGGAGGCAGCAGUAGGGAAUCUUCGGCAAUGGACGAAAGUCUGACCGAGCAACGCCGCGUGAGUGAAGAAGGUUUUCGGAUCGUAAAACUCUGUUGGUAGAGAAGAACGUUGGUGAGAGUGGAAAGCUCAUCAAGUGACGGUAACUACCCAGAAAGGGACGGCUAACUACGUG